UGGGGAAUAUUGCACAAUGGGCGCAAGCCUGAUGCAGCCAUGCCGCGUGUAUGAAGAAGGCCUUCGGGUUGUAAAGUACUUUCAGCGAGGAGGAAGGCGUUGUGGUUAAUAACCGCAACGAUUGACGUUACUCGCAGAAGAAGCACCGGCUAACUCCGUGCCAGCAGCCGCGGUAAUACGGAGGGUGCAAGCGUUAAUCGGAAUUAAUGGGCGUAAAGCGCACGCAGGCGGUCUGUCAAGUCGGAUGUGAAAUCCCCGGGCUCAACCUGGGAACUGCAUCCGAAACUGGCAGGCUAGAGUCUUGUAGAGGGGGGUAGAAUUCCAGGUGUAGCGGUGAAAUGCGUAGAGAUCUGGAGGAAUACCGGUGGCGAAGGCGGCCCCCUGGACAAAGACUGACGCUCAGGUGCGAAAGCGUGGGGAGCAAACA
rnacentral:rRNA from 1 species